rnacentral:rRNA from 1 species
AACGAACGCUGGCGGCAUGCCUAACACAUGCAAGUCGAACGAGACCUUCGGGUCUAGUGGCGCACGGGUGCGUAACGCGUGGGAACCUGCACUUAGGUUCGGUAUACCUCCCCGUAAGGGGUGCUCAUACCGGAUAAUGUCUUCGAACCAAAGAUUUAUCGCCUUUGGAUGGGCCCGCGUUGGAUUCGCUAGUUGGUAGGGUAAAAGCCUACCAAGGCCACGAUCCAUAGCUGGUCUGGGAGGAUGAUCAGCCACACUGGGACUGAGACACGGCCCAGACUCCUACGGGAGGCAGCAGUGGGGAAUAUUGGACAAGGGGCGAAAGCCUGAUACAGCAAUGCCGCGUGAGUGAUGAAGGCCUUAGGGUUGUAAAGCUCUUUUACCCGGGAUGAUAAUGACAGUACCGGGAGAAUAAGCACCGGCUAACUCCGUG